rnacentral:rRNA from 1 species
CCUACGGGUGGCUGCAGUGGGGAAUAUUGGACAAUGGGGGCAACCCUGAUCCAGCCAUGCCGCGUGUGUGAAGAAGGCUCUCGGGUUGUAAAGCACUUUCAGUGAGGAAGAACGCCUGGUGGUUAAUACCCAUCAGGAAAGACAUCACUCACAGAAGAAGCACCGGCUAACUCCGUGCCAGCAGCCGCGGUAAUACGGAGGGUGCGAGCGUUAAUCGGAAUUACUGGGCGUAAAGCGCGCGUAGGUGGCUUGAUAAGCCGGUUGUGAAAGCCCCGGGCUCAACCUGGGAACGGCAUCCGGAACUGUCAAGCUAGAGUGCAGGAGAGGAAGGUAGAAUUCCCGGUGUAGCGGUGAAAUGCGUAGAGAUCUGGAGGAAUACCAGUGGCGAAGGCGGCCUUCUGGACUGACACUGACACUGAGGUGCGAAAGCGUGGGUAGCAAACAGGAUUAGAUACCCGUGUAGUC